AGUGUGUUCCUGAUAUCGACCCUGAUAUUAGUUUCCCCACGUUAAACCCAGCAUAUAUGGGGUUAAAAGCAAAAGACCCAUUCCCUGCAUACUCUCUGGCUUCCUGGCUCCAGAAUCCACUAUCCUCCAUGGAGACAGACACCAUCAAGGACAAGCACCUGGACUAUCUCCUCCCACAAAGAGAUACGGGCUGGUGGGAAAGCUGCUGACCAGCAAGGUCAUGAGUUCCCUCCUGUCUGCAAGUAGUCUCAAGGCCAAAGACAGGCUGGUGGGAAAGCUCUGACCAGCAAGGCCAUAUGCUCCCCCUCCCCUACCUAAAGCCCCAAAUAAAAACCCUUCCUUUUAGCUUUUCGGGGAGUUUGGGAUUUGAGCGUUAGCUGCCCUCUCUCCUUGCCCAGUGCUGUGCAAAAAAAUAAAAUUCCUACUUUCUUCCACCACACCCAGUGUCAGAGAUUGGCUUGCUGUGCAACGGGACCAGCUGGAAAUAAUGGGUACCCUGGCAGCCCUCUGGCCUUCAUUUGUUUUGAAGUUGCCGCGACGCCCCAGCCAACUUUUGAAAAACUUCUUAUUAAAUACCUGGUUACUUACUUACAUGAUACACGCCUAACUUCAGGAGCCCACCAGCAUCACCGCCUUAUUAAAAGACUGGUUCAAUGAGAUGAAACGACCUAUGCCCCAUUUCAGCAGGAAGUAGAUAGAUUGGUUGUUGCCCCAGAUCCCACAAGAUUGAGGAACGGACACAAAAUAGGGGGGAGUUUAUAUCGACCCUGAUAUUAGUUUCCCCAUAUUAAACCCAGCAUAUAUGGGGUUAAAAGCAAAACACCCAUUCCCUGCUUACUCUCUGGCUUCCUGGCUCCAGAAUCCACUAUCCUCCAUGGAGACAGACACCAUCAAGGACAAGCACCUGGACUAUCUCCUCCCACAAAGAGAUACGGGCUGGUGGGAAAGCUGCUGACCAGCAAGGUCAUGAGUUCCCUCCUGUCUGCAAGUAGUCUCAAAGCCAAAGACAGGCUGGUGGGAAAGCUCCGACCAGCAAGGCCAUAUGCUCCCCCUCCCCUACCUAAAGCCCCAAAUAAAAACCCUUCCUUUUAGCUUUUCGGGGAGUUU
rnacentral:lncRNA from 1 species